GUCCUGGCCAUAAACUAUGCACACUAGGUGUGGGGGAGGUUUCUCCUCCGUGCCGAAGGUAACCCAUUAAGUGUGCCGCCUGGGGACUACGGCCGCAAGGUUGAAACUCAAAGAAAUUGACGGGGGCCCGCACAAGCGGUGGAGCAUGUGGCUCAAUUCGAAGCAACGCGAGGAACCUUACCAGGGUUUGACAUGGUUCGGACCGUCGGCGAAAGUCGAUUUUCCCGCAAGGGACCGUUUCACAGGUGCUGCAUGGCUGUCGU
rnacentral:rRNA from 1 species